rnacentral:rRNA from 1 species
CAGCAGCCGCGGGAAUACGAAGGGGGCUAGCGUUGCUCGGAAUUACUGGGCGUAAAGGGCGCGUAGGCGGAUGUUUAAGUCAGAGGUGAAAGCCCAGGGCUCAACCUUGGAACUGCCUUUGAUACUGGACAUCUUGAGUGUGGGAGAGGUGAGUGGAACUCCGAGUGUAGAGGUGAAAUUCGUAGAUAUUCGGAAGAACACCAGUGGCGAAGGCGGCUCACUGGACGCGUAUUGACGCUGAGGUGCGAAAGCGUGGGGAGCAAACAGGAUUAGAUACCCCUGUAGUCCCUGUCUCUUAUAC